rnacentral:rRNA from 1 species
UACAGAGGUCCCAAGCGUUGUUCGGAUUCACUGGGCGUAAAGCGUGCGUAGGCGGUUCGUUAAGUCUGCUGUGAAAGCCCUGGGCUCAACCUGGGAACUGCAGUGGAUACUGGCGGACUAGAGUGUGAUAGAGGAUGGUGGAAUUCCCGGUGUAGCGGUGAAAUGCGUAGAGAUCGGGAGGAACACCAGUGGCGAAGGCGGCCAUCUGGAUCAACACUGACGCUGAGGCACGAAAGCGUGGGGGAGCAAACAGG